UGAGAAGCUUCGACUAAGGUUCGACUCGAGCGAAGCGAGAGAACGUUGCCGCAGGCAACGGCCAGAAGGGCGAAGCGCUUUAGCGCCGAGUAAUCCUUCCCCCACCACUG
rnacentral:sRNA from 1 species